rnacentral:rRNA from 1 species
GGUUAAGCGACUAAGCGUACACGGUGGAUGCCCUGGCAGUCAGAGGCGAUGAAGGACGUGCUAAUCUGCGAAAAGCGUCGGUAAGGUGAUAUGAACCGUUAUAGCCGGCGAUGUCCGAAUGGGGAAACCCAGUGUGAUUCGUCACACUAUCGUUAACUGAAUACAUAGGUUAACGAGGCGAAC